CUUCUUUGCUGGCGACCGCGCACGGGUGAGUAACACGUAUCCAACCUGCCCUUUACUCGGGGAUAGCCUUUCGAAAGAAAGAUUAAUACCCGAUAGCAUAAUGAUUCCGCAUGGUUUCAUUAUUAAAGGAUUCCGGUAAAGGAUGGGGAUGCGUUCCAUUAGGUUGUUGGUGAGGUAACGGCCCACCAAGCCUUCGAUGGAUAGGGGUUCUGAGAGGAAGGUCCCCCACAUUGGAACUGAGACACGGUCCAA
rnacentral:rRNA from 1 species